UAACACAUGCAAGUCGAGCGAGAAAGUUCCUUCGGGAGCUAGUACAGCGGCGAACGGGUGAGCAACGCGUGAGAAUCACCGUUUUAGUGGAGAAUACCCUCGAGAAAUCGAGGUUAAUACUGCAUACGUCCUACGGGAGAAAGGUGGCCUCUUUGCUACCGCUAAAUGAGGAGCUUGCGUACUAUUAGCUAGUUGGUAGGGUAAAGGCCUACCAAGGCGAUGAUGGUUAACCGGCCUGAGAGGGUGUUCGGUCACACUGGAACUUAGACACGGGUCCAGACUCC
rnacentral:rRNA from 1 species